rnacentral:piRNA from 1 species
UAAAAUGGACCUUAGCUGUGCCCACAGC